rnacentral:miRNA from 1 species
AGAACUCAUAACACAUUUAGAUAA